rnacentral:rRNA from 1 species
GACAUAGGGCGCGAGCGUUGUCCGGAUUUAUUGGGCGUAAAGAGCUCGUAGGCGGCUUGUCGCGUCGACCGUGAAAACUUGGGGCUCAACCCCAAGCCUGCGGUCGAUACGGGCAGGCUCGAGUUCGGUAGGGGAGACUGGAAUUCCUGGUGUAGCGGUGAAAUGCGCAGAUAUCAGGAGGAACACCGAUGGCGAAGGCAGGUCUCUGGGCCGAUACUGACGCUGAGGAGCGAAAGCGUGGGGAGCGAACAGG